GUGGCUUAGUGGUUAAAGCGCUGGUCUAGCGUGGGUUCAAAUCCCACC
rnacentral:tRNA from 1 species